rnacentral:rRNA from 1 species
UGAGCAAUCUGCCCUUCUCUUCGGAAUAAGCGUUGGAAACGACGUCUAAUGCCGAAUACGACCUCCUCUCGCAUGAUCGGAGGUGGAAAGCUCCGGCGGAGAAGGAUGAGCUCGCGGCCUAUCAGCUAGUUGGUGUGGGUAAUGGCCCACCAAGGCGACGACGGGUAGCCGGCCUGAGAGGGUGACCGGCCACACGUGGGACUGAGACACGGCCCCAGACCUCCCCGACGGGGAGCAG